UUAAAGGCGACAGGAGAAUAAAUCCCCAAAGCGCCAGCGGGAUCUUCUGCGCCCCACCACAUCGUCCUAGCGGACGGCGGGAGACCGGCCACAGGGAAUCCCGUGCCGCACCCGAUCCCACCUCCACCUCCACCUCCACCGUCGCCUCCCCCUCCUUUCUCCUCUCCGAGCGAGCAGCACAAGCCAACACCACUCUCCUCGAACAAAACCGCCUCCUCCUCUCCUCACCUCGUCGGCCUGGGCCUUUUUCCGUUGCUACCCUCCUCUCCCCCCUCCCCUUUCCGAUUCCCCCACUUUCCGCGAGCUCCUCCUCUCCUUUUGCCCGCACCAUCACCACCACCACCGCCUCCAGAUUCCCCUCCGGCUUUCCCUCCGCCUGUCGGAUCUCCCCCCCGCCGGCGAGCUCGCCUCGCCGUGGUGGCGCGCCGGUAAGCCUUUUGGGGGUAAAGAAGGUGCCUGACACCACCUUGUGGUCAUCAAUUUGUCUGCUUCUAGCUCCAUUGCCAGUGCAUUGCGGAAGCUGGGGGUUCUAUAUGGGUUGUUAAGAAAAUCGUGCGCUACACAUGUUAAUCUGAUUGGCAGAAUAUGGUAAUUAUCAGCUUGAAUAACACCGUGAUUAGUACCUAGCCAAUUAGACAUACCACAAAUUAUUUCAUAUUCAAUAUGCCACCAUGGUGGGGGAAGUCUUUCUCAAAAGAUGCUAAGAAAACCACAAAAGAAAACCUCAUCGAUACAUUUCAUCGGUUGAUAAGUCCAAAUGAUCAAAAGGGAAGCACGAAGUCGAAACGGAGUUGUAGACGUGGCAAUGAUUCAUCUGUUGAAAAAAGCUGCCGAUCUACCACAGUGUCACGUCCUACUUCACCGUCAAAAGAAGUUUCUCGCUGCCAAAGCUUUUCAGCUGAUAGACCACAUGCCCAUCCCCUCCCUAUUCCUGGAGUACGUCCUCCAGUGACUCGGACUGUUUCUGAUAUCACUGAAUCAAAGCCCAUAUUGGAAAAACGUGGCAAGCCACCACUGCUUCUACCACUCCCUAAACCCAACCGGCCUCCGAGGAGGCAUGGAAAUAGUGAGGUUGUUUCAGAAAUAGUGGUUGCUUCUCCCUCUAGUAACUGUUCUGAUAGUGAUGAUCAUGGGGAUUCUCAGCUUCAGAGUCCUGUUGGAAAUGAUGCCGAAAAUGCAACACUUGUUACUUUAAAGAACAAGUCAAGUAAUGCGCGCAAAGAAUGUCCUGGACCUAUUACGGCAAAGAAUAUGAAGGAGAUACACAGACCAGCUAAUCAAGUACAUGGUAGCCAUAUAUUAUCCACAUCACCAAGGGGUGUCGCAGCUGACAGUUACCAAUCCAAUUUACAAAAUCCCCGCCCAUUAGUUCUGGAUAGUGCUCCCAAUAGUUUGAUGUCAAGUCCUUCUAGAAGUCCAAGAAGAAUAUGUCCUGAUCAUAUUCCAACUUCGGCCUUUUGGGCAGUGAAACCUCACACAGAUGUAACUUUUGUUGGAUCUGGUCAAUGUUCCAGUCCAGGUUCAGGGCAAACAUCUGGGCAUAAUUCUGUGGGUGGUGAUAUGCUAGCCCAGCUCUUUUGGCAGCCCAGCAGAAGUAGCCCAGAGUGUUCACCAAUUCCAAGUCCAAGAAUGACAAGUCCUGGCCCUAGUUCGAGGGUGCAUAGUGGAAGUGUUUCACCAUUGCAUCCAAGGUCUGGAGGGAUGGCCCCUGAAUCUCCAACAAACCGUCAUGAUGAUGGGAAGAAGAAGCAAACUCACAAACUUCCCCUACCACCACUGAGCAUCUCUCACAGUUCAUUUCAUCCAAAUAACUCCACUCCAACUAGUCCUAUUUCAGUACCUCGCAGCCCUGGUAGAACUGAGAAUCCACCAAGUCCUGGGUCACGAUGGAAGAAGGGGAAGCUAAUUGGCCGUGGAACAUUUGGUCAUGUAUAUGUUGGCUUUAACAGUGAUAGUGGUGAAAUGUGUGCGAUGAAAGAAGUUACCCUAUUCUUGGAUGAUCCUAAAUCAAAGGAAAGUGCAAAGCAGUUGGGGCAGGAAAUAUCACUAUUGAGCCGCCUACAGCAUCCAAAUAUCGUACAAUACUAUGGAUCAGAAACGGUUGAUGAUAAGCUUUAUAUAUACUUGGAGUAUGUAUCUGGUGGAUCUAUCCAUAAACUUCUACAAGAGUAUGGACAGCUUGGUGAACAAGCAAUACGCAGCUACACACAGCAGAUACUUUCAGGGUUGGCUUAUUUGCAUGCGAAGAAUACAGUCCAUAGGGAUAUUAAAGGUGCAAAUAUACUAGUAGAUCCUAGUGGUCGUGUUAAGCUUGCAGAUUUUGGAAUGGCAAAACAUAUCAAUGGGCAGCAGUGUCCUUUCUCCUUUAAGGGUAGUCCAUAUUGGAUGGCUCCAGAGGUUAUAAAAAACUCAAAUGGGUGCAACCUAGCUGUUGACAUAUGGAGUUUGGGAUGCACUGUCCUGGAGAUGGCUACAUCGAAACCGCCAUGGAGCCAGUAUGAAGGGAUUGCUGCAAUGUUCAAGAUCGGAAAUAGCAAGGAACUUCCACCAAUACCAGAUCACCUUUCAGAGCCAGGCAAGGACUUCAUCAGAAAGUGCCUGCAACGUGAUCCUUCUCAACGUCCCACUGCAAUGGAGCUUUUGCAGCACCCAUUUGUUCAAAAAGCAGUAUCACUAGAGAAAUCUGUUCUUUCUGAACCAUUGGAACAUUUGGCUGUUAUAUCUUGUAGAUCGAGCGCCAAGAUGGCUGCGCAUACAAGAAAUAUUUCCUCAUUGGGAUUGGAGGGUCAGACAAUUUACCAGAGAAGAGGUGCAAAAUUUUCUUCAAAACACAGUGAUAUCCGUAUACGAAGCAAUAUAUCUUGUCCAGUUUCUCCAUGUGGAAGUCCUUUGCUAAAAUCAAGGUCCCCACAACAUUCCAAUGGCAGAAUGUCACCUUCUCCUAUUUCAAGCCCCAGAACUACUUCAGGCACCUCCACGCCUCUGUCUGGUGGUAAUGGUGCUAUUCCUUUUAACCAUCUGAAGCAAUCAACCUACAGCAACGAGGGAUUUGCAAUCCCAUCAAGAAGCCCGGAUGAUCUCUUUGCCAGCCGGCCUACAGAUCCUGAUCUUGGGCAAUUUAUUCGAGUGCAUCAAGUCUCUCAGGGGCUUCAGGAGAGGGUGGUAUCUGAAGCUGACAUUCUAAGCCCUCAGUUUGGAAAGAGACUUGGAAAUGUUUUUGAUUUGCGUGAUAAGCUGUCACCAUCUGAACGUUUCACACAUCAUGCCUUUGUGGAUCAUGUGAAACUAAAUCCUUCAUUAGACUUGACGUCUGGAUCUCCACACCUUGGACUCAAGCAUGGUAACUAAUAUCAAGAAUCAGUAUUCAGAUGGCAUUUUUUGGAGCUUCGAAAGGUAACUGGUGGUUUGGCUGCUUUUUAGCCAUCCGAUGGCUUGAAGUGUAUCAUAGUAUGAGGAAAAGAAAAUCACUAAUGUCUGUAGAAGCUAAAGUUGGCAAUGGAUGGAAUCUUUGUUGUCAUCAACACAAUUCAAGUUGGCAAAGCAGAUAUCGUCCAUUCCUGUUAGGCAGAACUCCCGGAAGCAUACUACAAUUGGCGUACUAACAUCUGUCAAAUGACAAGACUGUAUAUUGGUACCCUACAGAUUGAAGGACCUCCGAAGUAGUAGUUCGCCGCAUGUAUACUCCUCUUGCCUUUAUAUGUAACUUAAUUUUCUAUUUUCUUCUUGGCGUCCUGAUGCCAUUGUACAGAGGAACCUCAACUAAGAGCCAAGAUUUUGCACAGGAGAAACAGUCCAGCCAUUCAGUAUCCUCUCUCACACAAUAUCUCACCUGAGGUUGAAACUACUGCUGCAAGUCAAACUGCAUACUGAAAGUAUUUUGUAGCAGAACUCAGCCAAUGAGCCAACUUAUUCACUGUACCAGUUACUCUGGAAAUUUAUACAAAGAAUCAGAUCCUUGGUUAAACUAGCU